rnacentral:rRNA from 1 species
UGAGUACGAGAUGCUACGGCAUCGAAGCAGUCUAUGUCAUACUUCCGGGAGGGGCUCGCACUGUCAAAAACAAAUUAAUGCCUGUACCAUAACCGACACAGGUGGGUAGGUAGAGUAUACUAAGGGGCGCGAGAUAACUCUCUCUAAGGAACUCGGCAAGGUAACUCCGUAACUUCGGGAGAAGGAGUGCCUUUUGAAGGCUGCAAUAACCAGAUCCAAGCAACUGUUUAUCAAAAACACAGGUCUCCGCUAAGUCGUAAGACGAUGUAUGGGGGCUGACGCCUGCCCAGUGCCAGAAGGUUAAAGAAGUUGGUUAGCCCUGCGAAGCUGAUGACUGAAGCCCUGGUGAACGGCGGCCGUAGCUAUAACGGUCCUAAGGUAGCGAAAUUCCUUGUCGGGUAGGUUCCGACCCGCACGAAAGGCGUAAUGAUUUGGAUACUGUCUCGGAGAGGGACUCGGUGAAAUAGACUUGUCUGUGAAGAUGCGGACUACCUGCACCAGGACAGAAAGACCCUAUGAAGCCUUACUGUAACUUGAGAUUGAAAUUGGACUUUACUUGCGCAGUAUAGGUGGGAGGCGUUGAAAAUAUUCUUGCGGGAAUAUCGGAGCCAUCAGUGAGAUACCACUCUUGUAAUGUUAGAUUUCUAACUUUGUAUCAUUAUCUGGUCAAAGAACAGUCUCAGGCGGGCAGUUUGACUGGGGCGGUCGCCUCCCAAACGGUAACGGAGGCGCACAAAGGUUUCCUCUGAACGGGUAGAGGUCGUGUCUGGAGUGUAAAGGCAUAAGGAAGCUUGACUGUGAGACCUACAAGUCGAGCAGGGACGAAAGUCGGUCUUAGUGAUCUGACGGUGCUGAGUGGAAAGGCCGUCACUCAACGGAUAAAAGUUACUCUAAGGAUAACAGGCUGAUCUCCCCCAAGAGUUCACAUCGACGGGGAGGUUUGGCACCUCGAUGUCGGCUCAUCGCAUCCUGGGGCGGUAGUACGUCCCAAGGGUUGGGCUGUUCGCCCAUGAAAGCGGUACGCGAGCUGGGUUCAGAACGUCGUGAGACAGUUCGGUCCAUAUCCGGUGUAGGCGUUAGAGUAUUGAGAGGAGCCUUCUUUAGUACGAGAGGACCGAGAAGGACAUACCUCUGGUGUACCAGUUAUCGUGCCAACGGUAAACGCUGGGUAGCUAUGUAUGGAGUGGAUAACCGCUGAGGGCAUCUAAGUGGGAAGCCCACCUCAAGAUAAG